rnacentral:rRNA from 1 species
AUUGAACGCUGGCGGAAUGCUUUACACAUGCAAGUCGAACGGUAGAGGGGGCAACCCCUCGAGAGUGGCGAACGGGUGAGUAAUAUAUCGGAACGUGCCCAGUCGUGGGGGAUAACGUAGCGAAAGUUACGCUAAUACCGCAUACGAUCUAAGGAUGAAAGCGUGGGACCGUAAGGCCUCGCGCGAUUGGAGCGGCCGAUAUCAGAUUAGGUAGUUGGUGAGGUAAAGGCUCACCAAGCCAACGAUCUGUAGCUGGUCUGAGAGGACGACCAUCCACACUGGAACUGAGACAAGGUCCAGACUCCUACGGUGGGCAGCGGUGGGUAAUUUUGGACAAUGGACGCAAGUCUGAUCCAGCCAUUCCGCGUGCAGGAUGAAGGCCCUCGGGUUGUAAACUGCUUUUGUACGGAACGAAAAGGUCUCUCCUAAUACGAGGGGCUCAUGACGGUACCGUAAGAAUAAGCACCGGCUAACUACGUGCCAGCCGCCGCCGUAA